rnacentral:rRNA from 1 species
UUUUAUUUGAGAGUUUGAUCCUGGCUCAGGAUGAACGCUGGCGGCGUGCCUAACACAUGCAAGUUGAGCGAUUUACUUCGGUAAAGAGCGGCGGACGGGUGAGUAACGCGUGGGUAACCUACCCUGUACACACGGAUAACAUACCGAAAGGUAUGCUAAUACGGGAUAAUAUAUUUGAGAGGCAUCUCUUGAAUAUCAAAGGUGAGCCAGUACAGGAUGGACCCGCGUCUGAUUAGCUAGUUGGUAAGGUAACGGCUUACCAAGGCAACGAUCAGUAGCCGACCUGAGAGGGUGAUCGGCCACAUUGGAACUGAGACACGGUCCAAACUCCUACGGGAGGCAGCAGUGGGGAAUAUUGCACAAUGGGCGAAAGCCUGAUGCAGCAACGCCGCGUGAGUGAUGAAGGCCUUCGGGUCGUAAAACUCUGUCCUCAAGGAAGAUAAUGACGGUACUUGAGGAGGAAGCCCCGGCUAACUACGUGCCAGCAGCCGCGGUAAUACGUAGGGGGCUAGCGUUAUCCGGAUUUACUGGGCGUAAAGGGUGCGUAGG